CAGCUCUGGUUCCUGGCACUCUCCUGGGGAUGCUCCGGAGCUGCUCCGUCCCUCUGAGCCCUCCCAGGGGGACACCAGCUCUGUCCUGGGCUAUGAGGAGAGGAGCAGCUCCACAAAUCCUGAGGGUCCAUCCCACCACCAGCCCUACUGGGAUGAGACAAGGUUUCUGGACUCGGUCAGCCUCACUGAGAGGGGCCAAGGAGCUCCUGGCCAUGAGAGCCCCCCAGAGCCCCCCAGGCUGAAGGAUGCCACUGAGCCCAGCAGGGCUGGGUCUGAGCUGCACUCCCAGGACACUGCUGGGAGCAGGGACAGGGAGCUGGCACUGUCAUCCUGUGUGCAGAGUGAGGAGAG
rnacentral:lncRNA from 1 species